rnacentral:tRNA from 2 species
GCCCGGUUAGCUCAGUCGGUAGAGCAUCAGACUUUUAAUCUGAGGGUCGUGGGUUCAAGUCCCCCAUCGGGCG